UGUGUGUUGGGAGCAUUUGCUAUUGUAUUUGGAAAGCAAAUCUUCUUUUAACACUUUCUCUUUAUUUAUCCCCUCUUUAUCUCCUCACAAAUAAGAAUGUCCCAAGAACGUCCAUCUUCCUUGAGGGUCUCCAAUCAUAAAAUUAGAGAAAAUUUCUGACUUCUAGAAUGUGAAUAUUUCCUCAUUUGGGGGUAGGGGGCUGAGAGGGAACCUAGUGACAUGGAGGUAUGUGUCCAGAGGACUAAUGUCCCUAGAACCAGCCCUGGUUUUUGCAGGCAUUUGGAAACACUCCUGGUAGAGCUAACUGUAAGUCUGCGGCAUGGUGGGAAGGUGUAACCAGUAUAGAUUCCAGCAUGGUCUCCGUGUGGAAUUAGCUUGAACCAGCUGAACAAGAUCAAAGCUACGAGAGACAAGUGCCAGGAGCACUUUCGUCUCAGAGGCUCGGAAUUGGGCAGGAUGGAGGCCAAUGCCUGGGGUGGGCGCGGGGUGGGGGCUUGGCACCCUUCCUGAAAGCACAAAUUUGGAUGGGGUGGUGAUUGGUGAGUCAGGCUGGCUGAAUAUGGUUCUGUCUUCCCAGGGCUUGUGUGGUGUUUCUCAGUGGCAGGAGCAGAGUUCAGAGACCUACCUCGUACAAGGGCCGAUGGGCGGGCAGCCUGGCCUCGCUGCCAAGACCUGUCUGUGCAGUUGUGCCCAGUGGGCAGCACAUGCGGUGAGGCAGGAUCCGGCAGGAAUGGCGGAUGGGCCAGGCUGAAUGUGACUUGGCAAGGGCCUGGAGGCAGCUUUUGAGAAGCAGAUUUGGGGCAGUGCGGUGCUGUGUUAGAGAUUGGGUAUAUAGACACAGAUGAGACCUGUUUCUGCCCUCAAGGAUCUCACAGUCUAACUGCAGUCCUGUCAGGAAGACAGAAUAUCAUUCCCACAAUAUAGAUGAGGAAACUGGAGCCAAAAGUACUGUCUCGACUUCCCUCCGCCUCUUCACCCCCCACACUGUCUCCAUCAGAGUGUUGAGCAAGAAGCAAUCAUCUGUGGAAGGCAGCCUGGAAAAACUGCUCCCUGGAAUGGAGUCAGUCCUCUCUGGGCUCCUACUUGUGCAACUGAAACGGCAUCAGUGGGUCUGCAUCUAUGUUAGUUGCUGAUCUGAUGCUCUCUACCAAUCAGCAGUGGCCGCCUUUAUCUCUUAGAUAAUUCUUGACUUGGGGGAGAUUGUCUUCCUCCUUCUUCUCCCUGGAUUAUCUGAACAGAUAAGGGGACUGUAAAAUCCAGGGACCCGUGGAAACCUGGGAGGCUCCACAUGGUGGUGGAUGCUCACUGAACUCUAGAUUUAUAAACUAAUGAGCAUUGCUUAGUUCUUUGUAGUGGACAGAGUGUGUUCACAUGAGCAGAGAACAGUAUGCUUGUCAAUUCCCCCUCCCUUCCACAUUUACCAGCUCAGGAUUCCUGGAAAGGUCUGAAUCACCAAAGCUUAGGAUUGUUCUCUUCAUUUUUAGGCUUAAGCUAAAAGGGACAUAGAGAGGUCACCUGUCCCAGUGAUUAUCAAAUUUUGGUCUGUGACAGAGUUUUCACCGGUCCGAAAUGAAAUGAGAAAAAAAGGGAAGCAUGCUGAAUUUUUUUCGGGAAGCAUAAUGUAUUCAGUUUAAAGGAUUACUUUCGGAGGCAGGAGAUGUACUCAAAUAUUUAUUCUGAGGUUAUGGCUUGCUUAUUCUUUUCAUGAGCUGAUGAUGAGAGUGGAUGGUAGCUAGGCUUUUUAAAUGUCCUUAUUUGGCAAAAUAAAGAGUUGGCAACUUUACAGUGGUUCCUUACAUUUCGUUUUUUGAAAUUUAACUGGUCUAUGAAAUCAAAAAAUCUUGCCUCCAGGCAGGAUCUUCUUCAAACAGAUGAGACUCUAUCUCCCUGAUAAGGGCUCUUUGGGGCAGAUUUCUGAAAACCUGGAUUCUGAUCUCGUCACCACUGUUCUUUCCCUGUGGGUCCUUGGACCAUGACAAACUCACACGGAGUCUCAGUUUCCUCAUUUUUACACUGUGGGAGGUUUCUGCCUCCAGGAUAAGGUCACUGGCAGAGGAAUGUGUUCUCACUUCCUUGUCCUCUUUGUCAGGAAGUCUGAGACUCUCCCUUCUCUGAGGGGCUCUGGGAUCAGGCCUUGCUGGUUCCUAUUCCUAUAGUCAUUUUUGGGAAAUGAUGGAGGUCAUCUCUUAUGCUUGGAAAAGACAGAGAGGACUUGUAGUUUGAAAUAUGGGAGCAGCAAGAGGUAUAUUUUACAUUUGAGGUCUUGGCGUCCAGUGUUAAUCAUUUGGAAACACAGGUAUUAAAAAGCUCUUGCCAGCAGUUUUUGAAAUGGUGGACCUUCUUGAGCUCUCAAGAAUAUCAGCUGGAGCUUUUCUAAAUCUGGAGGCUCCUGGAGGCCUUAGAGUGUCUGGGUCUUCUACCUUCUGGAGAGUCAGGCCUGGAAUAGCAACAAAUAUGUGGGAAUCCCCAGGCAGCCCCAGCUGCCAGACUGAGACAUGUGGUUGGGUGUGCACAUGUGUGCAGACUUGUAGGAGAGAAAGCGUUUAGAGGAAAGGCAGUUUGAAAU